GAUGAACGCUGGCGGCGUGCAUAACACAUUCAAGUCGAACGGAGUUUAUGUAUCAGAUCCCUUCGGGGUGACGAUGCAUAAACUUAGUGGCGGACGGGUGAGUAACGCGUGAGCAACCUGCCUUUGCGAGGGGGAUAACGUUUGGAAACGAACGCUAAUACCGCAUUAUGUUGAGGAAUCGCAUGGUUCUUCAUACCAAAGAUUUUAUCGCGCAAAGAUGGGCUCGCGUCUGAUUAGGUAGUUGGUGGGGUAACGGCUCACCAAGCCGACGAUCAGUAGCCGGACUGAGAGGUUGAACGGCCACAUUGGAACUGAGAUACGGUCCAG
rnacentral:rRNA from 1 species